UUAGAUGCCGGAAUUGAUAUCAAUCGUCAACGUCGAUCAGUUCAGCGUCAUCAUGACAUCCGCAUUCAGCAUCUUCAAGCAUCUUUAAGAUCUGGAAGAAUUCCUACACGCUGCAGUGAAUCGGGAUCUUCAUGAUUCAAUAUUUUUAAUUUUAAAUGAUAAUCAACGUGAACAGCUACCAAAUAUUGGCAAUAUUGAACAUUUAAACCUCAUUUUGCAGGAUCCUUAAGAAUCUCUCUAUUAUGUGUUAUUUUGUAUUCCAUUUGAUAUUUAUUUUUAUUUAAUAAUAAAUUUUAACA